AGAGCACUGAAGCUGGGCAUAGUCCCAGACAACCACAGAAACCCUCAACAGGCAUAUACUAGUCCUGGAUUCAUUUUUGAGCAGCAAUGAGGGACCAAGAGGAGACCACAGUAAUUUUCACUUUAAUCAAAGCCCUACUUCUGCUUAGUUCUAUGCAGGAAAUAUAUUUACCACACUUCUAUGGAUGUUUCAGCUAUAUGAUCAUAUACUUUAAUAUCCUACCUGCUUAUGCGAUGACUGCUCUCUUGGCCAACAUACCAGGGAUUGAACCUGGGACCUCCAGACCUAAAAGUAUGAGCUGCCAGUUUAAGCCAAAAAGCAAAGGAUGUCUCCGUAGCUUAUGGCUAUAACAACUCAUAAUCUUUGUGGAUCUGCACAGAGGGAAAGCUGUAACUAACACUAACACACACACACGCCAGAAACAAGAGAAAAAGUUCUGUACACCUGUGAUCCAAAUGACAAACGCUAGGAAAAGGUUUAAGCCUAGCCCCUGAAAAACAACUAGGGCGUAUUACACCAUGAUGGCUUCUGUGAAAAAUUCCAAUGAAUAAGACAUUUUCACUAAAGUCUACAUUACAACCACUCCCAUGAUGUCUCCUCAUUUCUCAUAUGCAGUCCAAAUUAUGCUUUUUUAUUUGUUCUUAAUAGCAGAAAAAUCAAUCAUGUCAAAAUAUGGAAUUCCUUCUACACAAAUCCCUGUAGAAAACAGAUACCUCUAAACAGAGUUCUGUAUCAAAUGACAUCCAAAGGAAUCUCAUGAACACAACACAAUCUCAGUGAAAGUUACUGUGGUGGCAAGUUGAAGACAGAAUGUCAGGCAACUUAACUUACAUUUCCUCAUUUUGUGAGUUACACCAGACUCAGUUUUAUUUUAAGUGAUGCACUCAAUACACUAAUCAAAUCAACAGCUGAAACCUUCAGACAACUAAGAACCUUACUCUCACCAUUUUUUGUCUUCCUGUUACAUUGCAAUUUAUGGAUUUCAGGUUUACUUCUCAACUUCAACCUACCAUAGGCAGCAGAAAAUGAAAGAGAAAAAAUCUGGCAUACUAGAAAUAAAAUAUCUGGGAAAGCGGCUAUUAGAGGUUAGGUAUUUCAUCAUUUUGAAGGGCCUCCAUACAGUACCUCUGUUACCAUAUUAAUCUGCUUUCUCUCUUAAAGAGUCAUACUAUUUACAGCAAGAGUGGUGCCUUCAAGUCUCAUGCUGGACAUGAGCAGCGGAGUUAAACAGCAUCACUAAUUACAAACAAGGGUCUCCACACAGUAACAUCCAGGUGUUUUGUGGAAACGUUUCCAAGCUCACUUUCUGGCAGAGGGGAGAAUCUCAACCUCCUGAGGCUGUCACGGCUUCAGGUAGCCCUUGUAAGGCGCUGUGGCGGCACAGUCACCUCCUCCCGCCUCUCUUCUCCGCCCCAUUAGCUCGGGAGCGGCAGAAAGCGAAGCGAUGUGGCGUCUAAAGGGAGCUCCAGCGCUGCCUAACAGUCAGAGCAGGUGACUGACAGGAAUCAUCCUGGGAUCAAUGGAACCUUUGAGCAUGAAAAGGAAUGGAGGACCUGGCCUUGAUGAGCAAGUGAGAGCAUAAAUAGAAAGGGUGUGAUGACAAGAGCGUGACUUGAUCUGUAAUCCAUUGAUCCCAAGAUGCAUUUCUACAUCUGUGACAUAAUUCAGACAUUUUUGCUAGUAAACUGGAGAUAUUUGAAUGGGUGAAAUUCUAUAUCUGUGGGAUCACAUACGGAAAAAGGUGAACAAAGUUACAAGAUACCACAAGGGCAGAGUGUGACAUGGUGAACUCAUCACAAUUAAGGACAUUCGAACUAACUGUAAUGAAGGGAAAUGUUUGCCAGCCUUCAGUGCAGUAUGAUAAAGAAGAAUUCUUUUAAAAGUGUGUGUUGUGGGCAGAUGGGCACAUCAUGCUACCAUGGGAAAGAAUUUUAGUUAAGUGCAGAUUUCUGUGAAGUCUGAGGGAAAUCAUGCCAAAGCACGCACACACAUAAAACCUACCUUCAGUCAAAAACUUGAUGUCAGUCCCUCACAAUCCUCAUGGUUGAAAAGAAUUCUUCAGAGGAAAACUAGUUGUUGCUGAGCUUGUAGCCCUUAUAAAAGCAUUGCAAUACUCUAGUAAUGGCCUAAAAUACUGAGAGUGAAAUACAAAGUCUGUGUACUACUAAGCCUCACCAGACCCUACUGAGAUGGGACGAAACCUUUUAUCCAACUUCCCUGAACAUUGGUAGUUCAAAUCCCAAUCACCCAUGUUUCAGGGGUUAUGUUUGCAACCAAACACAAAACAUGGUGUCUUUGGCUCUAUUUAGUUUUAAAGAACUUAAACUAUCUAAAAUGUCUGUGGUACUGCCAAUGCAUUACAGUAUGUGGGUAGUACUUGGUAGGCCACAUAUUAUCUCUCUCUGUAUCUGUCCCAUGAGGACAAAUCAUACUUCACAUGCUCCUUAUUUAGGCAAAACUCUCAUUGACAAACAAUGGAAGUUUUGCCUUGGUGUGGAUCUCAGGAGUUGUCCAUAGUUUUGCAGUUGGGAAUUUUCAGUAUCACAGAAUUCUAUGGAUGCAGCCAUUGCAAGUAUUAUUACUGAAAUCUGUAAAGCAAUUUGCUGACAUUUUGAAGAAACAAAUUAAAAAAAAUGUAGUUAAGCCAUGCUUGCAAAUAUCGUAGAAGAAAGAAGGGAGCCUGUUCUUAGAUCUCCAGCUAUGGAAGCUGUUUUAUAAUUCUUUGCUUCAAAUUGAACUUGUUUCUUGAGGAUUUUUUAGUGCCAUAACACACACUAGAUAGAAUUUCAGUAUACUUUCUAAAAUGCAUCUAGGUGAGGUAAGGUAUUUUAAAGACUUUACCAGGAAGGUCACCAAAAGAUGUGAUUGCAUACAGUUUAUAAGAACAUGACACAGCAAAAGUAAAUGGAUUAAUUUUCUAUCAGGGCUGUGUUUUUGAGAUGAACAAAGCCAUAGUUAGUUUGGUAUCUAACCCAAAUUAAAAGACUUUUGAACUCUACUACUCCAGAAAGUAUGUCUCAGAUUUUAAAGAUUCAGCAAGCAUGCUAACAGAAUUCUCAGAUGCCAUACACCACACUAGUUCCCUGUAAUUUUAAAACUGUAGAUUUUGCAUUCCCAAACCUGGGUGUCUAAAAUCAGGGUCUUAUAUCCAUAUAUAGUUAUUUAAAUAAAAGUAGCCUACGCCUUUUAAAUAGGUGUUGAGUGGUUUAAGCUUUAACUCAGGAAUAGCAGUUGUUGCUUGCCUCUCUAGUUUCCCAUGUACAUUUACACACAAUUUGUAAAGUAAUAUUUUUGUUGGUAGAUGCAGUUUCUACAUUAACAGAGUCAUUGGUAUCAUCAUUCGCUCUUGGGACUAAGAGGGACCAGACAUCAAUCCAGGCUCUCCACAUCUUUCUGAACAAGUCUCUCAUAUUUCAAACUUAUAAGUAAACAGCCAGGCAAGGCGUGUUAGUUUACCUUUGUUUUCUCAACUUGUAAAUGUACCUUUUACUAGGGUGUUUACCUCUGUUUGCUGUACUUUGAACCUAAGGCUAGAGGGGGGUCCUCUGGGCUCUUUAAGUUUGAUUACCCUGUAAAGUUAUUUUCCAUCCUGAUUUUACAGAGAUGAUUUUUACCUUUUCUUUAAUUAAAAACCUUCUUUUUAAGAA